rnacentral:lncRNA from 1 species
CAUGCUACUAGAGCUGUCAUGGGUGCUUUGUUUUGCAGGUUGGAUUCCGGAGGAUCGACAACCUGCAGGCCGGCUGGAUCAUGUGCCCGCCUGUUCUUAAUUUGAAACUCGGUGGUUGAUUCAUUGGAAUCGUUACCAAGCCCACACUCUCCUGUACCUAAUUGUCAUUGUCACCUUGGUGGUUGAUUCAUGGGAAUCUUUACCAAGCCGGUGAGGAUGACUUGUGAGUUUCGAUGAUGGUUUGUUCUUCUCCUACUUCUAAUUUUCUCCUCUUUACCACUACUUGUCACUUGGUGCCGAUUCCGUUCAUCAUCGUUGUUACUAAUAAUGCAGUGUCAUGACCAUGUAAUUCAAAUUUUCAAUUAUUUAAAUUCUGAUAGCACCAGAAAAUAUUUUCUAUUUGCAUUAGUAAUCAUAUUAGUGCCUGAACUAUGGUAUACUUUGUGCAGAUCCCUUCGUAAAUGAAUUUGACUGAAUCAAAUCGAUCUCUACUUUCAAGGAUGUUCAUAGUAACAAAGGCAUUUUUGGAAUCAUACCUCGACUGUAAGUAUCAUUUAUGUUUUUUCUUGGCUGAAGUAUCAUUUAUGUUUUUAUAAGUAAGCCUGUUAUGCAUGAUGUGUUUCCUGUUAUGUGCAAGUUUUAUUUUACUGCCCCGCAAAAAAAAAGUUUUAUUUUACUGUUAUCUCUUGGUUGGGAAUACAUGCAAAUGAAGUUACUAGCUUUCCUUUUUCUGGUCAUAAAUUAAACCAUGCACUUCACUUAUUAUUGCUAGAUUGGAUAAGUUGGUGUUAUUAUACACAGAAACCACAAUAUUUCAUAGUUAAGCUAUUCUACUGCGGUGACUGGUAACUGGCGAAGAUAUCAUUUCAUAAUCAGGAUGUAGCAUGUGUUCCUAAAGCUAUUGACUUGGUAGCCAGAGAACUCACUUCCCCGCGACUCCUGGUCAUGGCCUUAACUCUCCUAUGUUUGUUCAUCAGUCAUCAAGUAUUUUAUAUAUUGCAGCUUGAAACUAGUGUCGUUUAAGAAUUUGUUUUCACAAUGACAAGAAACUUCUAACUCGGUGUUUCGUUUUCAUCUACUGCACUAUAUAUUCGUCUUGCAUUUUACAGUUAAAUUCAUCCACUGCAGUAUUGACUAAUUUCUCUUACCACAGGACUACAUUUCUUCAAACUAUUCUGGUUUUUAGUCCUUGAGCUACUCCCAAUAGUAGAUCCAUAAACUUUGUUAUCCUUAUGUGAAAUAUAUUACUGACUACUUGGAAAAUUAGAUAGGGCUUUGGUACUGCCAUUUUUGUACCCCACACAAACUCUACAACACUAAGGCCAAAUUUUUAAUAUUGAUCAUUUGUGUAUUUUUUCUUCAUGUAUAAUUUCCAGUGCUGACAGCAUAAACUAAUCUGAUCCAUCAAGCAUUUAUAAAAUACCAUGGGAAUAUUUCAUCAAGCACCACCAAACUGACAAUUCUUCACUUGACACUUUCAAUGCUUGUCAUUGAGUGUAUGAUUGUUUCUAACCGAAUAAGAUUUGCUUUUCAUCCACUGCAGCUUAUGAUAAUCUUGUAAUCUACAACCUAAAUUCUAUUAUUGUUUGCUUUACUUUCAACUUUUAUUGUUUACUUUAUCUCACUUAGUGCAAUCUUCUUCUGUUUAGCUCUGCUUUUCUGUCAAACCUCACUUAACAUUUUAUUCUAACCACACAAUUUGAGAGCAUCUCCUUUAUUUAGCUCGGCGGGAUCAAACACCACCAUCCUCGCCGAAGUCCAACCAGCACCACGCAACUAAUGGUGCUGCCGGCAUGAUGAUGCCCUCCUCCGUGCUGAUCUAGCUUUUCGACCUGUCAUUCCGGGCAUCUGCUUUUGAUGUGCUAUUUGCUCUCUUUUCAUAAGUGUAGCUUACAUGAUCAGUUUUGUACGUGCACUAUACUUCUGUGUUGUAUCUUUGUUUUUCAAGAAGCGGCAGCAUGCUCCUGUCAGUGUUAUUUUAUUGCUAUCCAUUGGCAUGUGCUAAGAGAAAUGAAAAGGGUGUAUAUGCAUGUACCAAUGCUAAGUAAUUUAGCUGAUUUCAUCAAUUCAGCAACAUUUGUCA